AGCAUAUCAAUAAGCGGAGGAAAAGAAACCAACAGGGAUUGCCCCAGUAACGGCGAGUGAAGCGGCAACAGCUCAAAUUUGAAAUCUGGCCCCCCGGCCCGAGUUGUAAUUUGGAGAGGAUGCUUUUGGCGCGGCGCCGUCCGAGUUCCUUGGAACAGGACGCCACAGAGGGUGAGAGCCCCGUACGGACGGACGCCUAGCCUCUACAAAGCUCCUUCGACGAGUCGAGUAGUUUGGGAAUGCUGCUCAAAAUGGGAGGUAAAUUUCUUCUAAAGCUAAAUACCGGCCAGAGACCGAUAGCGCACAAGUAGAGUGAUCGAAAGAUGAAAAGCACUUUGAAAAGAGGGUUAAAAAGUACGUGAAAUUGUUGAAAGGGAAGCGCCUGUGACCAGACUUGCGCCCCGCGGACCACCCGGCGUUCUCGCCGGUGCACUCCGCGGGGCGCAGGCCAGCAUCGGUUCUCCUAGGGGGACAAAGGCCGCGGGAACGUAGCUCCUUCGGGAGUGUUAUAGCCCGCGGCGGCAUGCCCCUGGGGGGACCGAGGACCGCGCUUCGGCAAGGAUGCUGGCGUAAUGGUCACCAGCGACCCGUCUUGAAACACGGACCAAGGAGUCAAGCAUUGGGGCGAGUGUAUGGGUGCCAAACCCGCACGCGAAAUGAAAGUAAACGCAGGUGAGAGCUUCGGCGCAUCAUCGACCGAUCCUGAUGUCUUCGGAUGGAUUUGAGUAAGAGCCUUACCGCUUGGACCCGAAAGAUGGUGAACUAUGCCUGAAUAGGGUGAAGCCAGAGGAAACUCUGGUGGAGGCUCGCAGCGGUUCUGACGUGCAAAUCGAUCGUCAAAUUUGGGCAUGGGGGCGAAAGACUAAUCUAACCAUCUAGUAGCUGGUUACCGCCGAA
rnacentral:rRNA from 1 species